ACGCUGAAGCAUCUUCGGGUGUGGAUGAGUGGCGAACGGGUGAGUAACACGUGGGUAAUCUGCCCUGCACUCUGGGAUAAGCCCGGGAAACUGGGUCUAAUACCGGAUAGGACACAUGGCCGCAUGGUCUGUGUGUGGAAAGUUCCGGCGGUGCAGGAUGAGCCCGCGGCCUAUCAGCUUGUUGGUGGGGUGAUGGCCUACCAAGGCGACGACGGGUAGCCGGCCUGAGAGGGUGACCGGCCACACUGGGUCUGAGACACGGCCCAGACUCCUACGGGAGGCAGCAGUGGGGAAUCUUGCGCAAUGGGCGAAAGCCUGACGCAGCAACGCCGCGUGGGGGAUGACGGCCUUCGGGUUGUAAACCUCUUUCGACAUCGACGAAGCCUUCGGGUGACGGUAGGUGUAGAAGAAGCACCGGCUAACUACGUGCCAGCAGCCGCGGUAAUACGUAGGGUGCGAGCGUUGUCCGGAUUUAUUGGGCGUAAAGAGCUCGUAGGCGGUUUGUCGCGUCGUUCGUGAAAACUGGAGGCUUAACCUUCAGCUUGCGGUCGAUACGGGCAGACUUGAGUUCGGUAGGGGAGACUGGAAUUCCUGGUGUAGCGGUGAAAUGCGCAGAUAUCAGGAGGAACACCGGUGGCGAAGGCGGGUCUCUGGGCCGAUACUGACGCUGAGGAGCGAAAGCGUGGGGAGCGAACAGGAUUAGAUACCCUGGUAGUCCACGCCGU
rnacentral:rRNA from 1 species